CGGGAAACUGGGGAUAAUACCGGAUAUGUGGAGUUGCCUGGAAUUGGUACUUCAUUGAAAUGCUCCGGCGCCUAAGGAUGGAUCUGCGGCAGAUUAGGUAGUUGGCGGGGUAAAUGCCCACCAAGCCAGUAAUCUGUACGGGUUGUGAGAGCAAGAGCCCGGAGAUGGAACCUGAGACAAGGUUCCAGGCCCUACGGGGGGGAAGAGGCGCGGAACCCUCCGCAAUGCGGGAAAUCGCGACGGGGGAAACCCAAGUGCCACUCUUAACGGGGUGGCUUUUCUGAAGUGUAAAAAGCUUCAGGAAUAAGAGCUGGGCAAGACCGGUGCCAGCCGCCGCGGUAAUA
rnacentral:rRNA from 1 species